ACAGCAAUUCGUUCUGUCGCUAUAUUAAUUGUUUGAUAUAGAGGAAAGUCCGGACAACAUAGAGCAUCAUACUUCCUAACGGGAAGGACUUGUGAAAACAAGGACAGAUAGUGCCACAGAAAAUAACCGCCUUGAAAAAGGUAAGGGUGAAAACGCGAGGUAAGAGCUCACGUGCAACAUAGGCGACUGUGUUGUAAGGCAAACCUUAUGAGUUGAAAGACCAUGUAAACUGAGGAUUGAGGGCUGCUCGUCCGAUCUCAGAGGGUGGGUCGAUAGAGGUGUUUAGUGAUAAACAUCCCAGAUAAAUGACAGAAAUAUUGAUUCCAAUAUACAGAAUCCGGCUUAUAGAAUUGCUGUUUUU
rnacentral:RNase_P_RNA from 1 species